GACGAACGCUGGCGGCGUGCUUAACACAUGCAAGUCGUACGGUAAGGCCCUUUCGGGGGUACACGAGUGGCGAACGGGUGAGUAACACGUGAGUAACCUGCCCACAACUUUGGGAUAACGCUAGGGAACUGGUGCUAAUACUGGAUAUGUGCUCCUGCUGCAUGGUGGGGGUUGGAAAGCUCCGGCGGUUGUGGAUGGACUCGCGGCCUAUCAGCUUGUUGGUGGGGUAGUGGCCUACCAAGGCGGCGACGGGUAGCCGGCCUGAGAGGGUGACCGGCCACAUUGGGACUAAGAUACGGCCCAGACUCCUACGGGAGGCAGCAGUGGGGAAUAUUGCACAAUGGGCGCAAGCCUGAUGCAGCAACGCCGCGUGCGGGAUGACGGCCUUCGGGUUGUAAACCGCUUUCAGCAGGGACGAAGCUUUUUGUGACGGUACCUGCAGAAGAAGCACCGGCUAACUACGUG
rnacentral:rRNA from 1 species